rnacentral:rRNA from 1 species
AUUGAACGCUGGCGGCAUGCCUUACACAUGCAAGUCGAACGGCAGCACGGGAGCAAUCCUGGUGGCGAGUGGCGAACGGGUGAGUAAUAUAUCGGAACGUGCCCAGUAGUGGGGGAUAACUGCUCGAAAGAGCAGCUAAUACCGCAUACGACCUGAGGGUGAAAGCGGGGGAUCGCAAGACCUCGCGCCAUUGGAGCGGCCGAUAUCAGAUUAGCUAGUUGGUGAGGUAAGGGCUCACCAAGGCGACGAUCUGUAGCUGGUCUGAGAGGACGACCAGCCACACUGGGACUGAGACACGGCCCAGACUCUUACGGGAGGUAGCAGUGGGGAAUUUUGGACAAUGGGCGCAAGCCUGAUCCAGCCAUGCCGCGUGCGGGAAGAAGGCCUUCGGGUUGUAAACCGCUUUUGUCAGGGAAGAAACGGCUCCUACUAAUACUGGGGGCUAAUGACGGUACCUGAAGAAUAAGCACCGGCUAACUACGUGCCAGCAGCCGCGGUAA